rnacentral:rRNA from 1 species
AUACGGAGGAUCCGAGCGUUAUCCGGAUUUAUUGGGUUUAAAGGGAGCGUAGGCGGAUUAUUAAGUCAGUUGUGAAAGUUUGCGGCUCAACCGUAAAAUUGCAGUUGAUACUGGUAGUCUUGAGUGCAGCAGAGGUAGGCGGAAUUCGUGGUGUAGCGGUGAAAUGCUUAGAUAUCACGAAGCACUCCGAUUGCGAAGGCAGCUUACUGGACUGUAACUGUCGCUGAUGAUCGAAAGUGUGGCUAUCAAAAAGGAUUAGAUACCCUGUUAGUGCCCACAAUAAUGGGUGAAUAGUCGCUGUUUGCGAUAUACCGCAAGCGGCCAAGCGAACGCAUUAAGUAUUCCGCCUGGGGAGUACGGCGGCAACAGUGAAACUCAAAUGAAUUGGCGGGG